rnacentral:pre_miRNA from 1 species
GCCGAUAUGUUGCCUUUAUCUGCAUUUGCACCUGCACUUUAAGUACUCAGUUUCUCUGUGACAUAUAAAUAAUAUAACUAUGUCAGUUGAGGACUGAAGAGAUCAAUAUAUUAUUAUAUAAUAUGGGAAUAGAGGGACCGAGAACGAGGUGCAGGUGCAUCUGCAGGUGAAUGCCAUAUUGGA